rnacentral:tRNA from 1 species
AGGGAAAUAGCUCAGUUGGUAGAGCAUCAGACUUAUGCCUGAAGUUCCAGGUUUGAAUCCUGGCACUA